rnacentral:rRNA from 1 species
CCUACGGGAGGCAGCAGUGAGGAAUAUUGGUCAAUGGACGAGAGUCCGAACCAGCCAAGUAGCGUGAAGGAUGACUGCCCUAUGGGUCGUAAACUUCUUUUAUAAAGGAAUAAAACGAGGCACGUGUGCCUUUUUGCAGGUACUUUAUGAAUAAGGAUCGGCUAACUCCGUGCCAGCAGCCGCGGUAAUACGGAGGAUCCGAGCGUUAUCCGGAUUUAUUGGGUUUAAAGGGAGCGUAGAUGGGUUGUUAAGUCAGUUGUGAAAGUUUGCGGCUCAACCGUAAAAUUGCAAUUGAUACUGGCAGUCUUGAGUACAGUUGAGGUAGGCGGAAUUCGUGGUGUAGCGGUGAAAUGCUUAGAUAUCACGAAGAACCCCGAUUGCGAAGGCAGCUUACUAAACUGUGACUGACAUUGAUGCUCGAAAGUGUGGGUAUCAAACAGGAUUAGAUACCCGUGUAGUC